AUAUGCGUAAUAGGUACUAACCACAAACCCGAUUAUAAUAGUUAAGUUCCCCCAAUCUUCACUAAACCAAACUCUUUACACCUCGGAGAAGAAUCAAGGCGACAAAGUGUAGCAAUUGCAGAAUACUCUUACCACUCGAUUUCUACUCCUCCAUAUGCAUAUGCGUAUUGAUUCAUUUAACAUGGAUGAUACCGUGGAUGAUAUAAAUGUUGAUGGUUUUGAGUUGAAGCCUGGACCGAGCGACACCUCUGUAUUGCAUUUACAAGCUGAACAUAGGUCUUCUACUACAUGGAAUAUGGGUGGUGGGGAUGUGUUGAGAUCGAGGGUUCGUAACCCUAGCAGCAGUAGAUUCCCUUCGUUACAUUCUCGGAUGGUUCCACUACUCAGAGAUGUGGGAUUUGAUGGAGUUGCGAGGCUGACAAGCAUCCAUAUAGACUGGAGUCUAGUUACAGCGUUAGUGGAGCGCUGGAGGCCAGAGACACAUACGUUCCACUUACCGGUAGGAGAAUGCAGUAUUACUUUACAGGACGUCAGUGUAAUUCUUGGAUUACGUGUUGAUGGUUGUGCAAUUACCGGUUCUACGGAAUUCAUAGGUGGUUGGGGUACCCUUGUUGAGAGUAUUUUUGGUAAAGCUCCUGCAAAGCAAGAUUUAGAUGGUGGCAGGUUAAAGUUGAAUUGGUUGACAAAUUUACUUCCAGUACUUUCUGCUGAUGCAAACGAGGACGAGCUCAUUCGAUAUACACAAUCUUAUAUGUUGCAACUAAUCGGAGGUAUACUUUUCACGGAUCAUCAAGGAUCACAAGUCCAUUGUAUGUUCCUGCCUUUGAUUCAGAAUUUGGAUCGUGCUAGAACAUUAUCUUGGGGUUCUGGUGUGCUUGCGUACCUGUACAGAGAAUUGUGCAAGGCAUGCAAAAAAGGUAUAUAAGAAAUUGCUGGUUGUGUGUUGUUAUUGCAGCUAUGGGCAUGGACAAGACUUCCUACUCUUGCUCCAAUUCCUCGUGGUCCGUAUGUGGACAAUCGGGAGAUAUGGGGUGAUCUUCCCGGGCCAUUUGGAUUGAGGUGGUGCGCUCCUAAGUCGUAUGCUGAUUCGAGUUCUCAUGUUGUGUCUAUUGAUCGCCUUUCACUUGAUGUUCUUCUGCCUGAUCACUUUGUAUGGCUGCCAUAUGUUGAUGUACUUGAUAAGUUAUCCAAUAUUUGUCAAGAAGGUAGUGCCAUUUGGUUGUACAAGGGUCCAAUUAUAUGUUUUUAUAUAGUAGAGCCACAUGAACCUGAUAGGUGCGUGCGCCAGUUCAAUAUGGUCCAGGAUAUACCACCACCUCCUACCAUUUAUUCUUCUGAUCUGCACAAGAUGACUUUGAAAGGAAAGACUGACAUUGAUUGGCGCGAUAAGCAUAAGGACCAUAUUCUCUCCUGGAAUAAUCGUUUGCAAUUUGUUAACAUAAUUGGUAAUGAAGGUGUUGGUAUCAGUGAUCAUUAUGCAGACUGGUAUGGCAAUAUCACUCGUCCAUAUCAUACACUUUUUGCCGCUGCACAAUCACAUGUGUUUCAUAUACUUGAUCGUAUAUCCUCUAUAGCUGGUGGUGUGGUUAAUGGAGAUUAUAACACUAUUAAUGUUCUUGCUAAACACGCCAGACGGGUAUUAGAGUCUCAAUAUAGUCGUGGGCUUCGACAAGAUAUUCCCGCUGAUGACUCAUUUAUUGACAAAGGUCCUGAAGAGGUAAAAAUGAAAAGGGUAGGUCAUAAAGGAGGUCGCGGAGGAGUUAAUGCUCCGAAAAAACGGAGAAUGCAAAAUGAUGACAAGAGAUAUGAUAAUCCAAAUGAUGACAUAACUGUUCCUUUGAAUGAGACGACAAUAAGUAUCAGCCAUGAGGUGGAGGAUCAUGGGCUGGAUCAUAGAGGUUUUGAUCCUACACCUACUUCGUGGUUCCCUAACUUUGAUUUAGUACCAGACUGGUCGCAAUUACGUGAGCAAACUACUGAGGUUUAUCCUGCACCCCUGGUACAAGAUCAACAAGCAACUGGACAGCUGACACAUGUUCCGCAGCAUCAGCUUGUUGAGCAGCAGCAGCAGCCUAUUGAGGAACAGCAACCCCUACAUGUUCCGCAAGAAAAUUUGCCAAUGGAAGAACAGAAUCUAGCAGAACAGGAAUUGCAGCAACCACAAGAAGAAGAAGAAGAAGUAUGGCCACCAAUACCUGAAGAACCGCAACAACAUUUACAACAUGCACAUGGACAUGCUAUGCAGUUGCGACCUCGGAAGAAGAAAGGUCCAAAAUGCGGGACACACGGUUACAAACAAUAUCAAAGGCUUCGAUGAUUUAUGAUACUUCUUACUUUCUCGUUAUGUUGAUUUGUUAGUUUAUCUUUUCUGUAUAGUCAAUUUUUUAAUGUUUAUUAAUUGUGCAGGUGGAAAUACAAGUAGUAUGUUCCUGGUGCUUACCUAGAGAUAAUUAUAAUUUUGUUCAGAUCUUAGAGUGAGCCUCAGAAUAUUCUACACAACUUUUGGAAUGGUGAUGCAGUGCAGCAAUAGAAUAUGGAUCAAAUGUUUUUGAUAACUAGACUAGACAGUGGGAGUGGAAAAUGUGAUAAUGCUUGUAUUUCAAUAUAUAUAGGAUGUUUGGUAUCUAUUAAACUCCCAAUUUUUUGGCGUAUCGUAUCAGUUUUUGAAUGUAAGACAAUACAUUUCAAUUGCUAUAACAGUUUCUUCAUAGUACAA